CUUCUAUACAGCACUUACUAUACGCCAGGCAAUGUUUUAAGCACUUUACAAAUAUUACCUCAUUUAAUUUUCACUGCAACUGCAUGAAACAGAUAUUAUUAUCAUCCCCAUCAUAAAGAUGAAGGAACUAGGCUCGGGAGGAGAAGUAACUUACUGCUAAGUGGCCAGGAUUCAAACUCAGGCAGCGUGGCUCCAGGGUCCCUGCUCUUAACCAUUACGUUAUGCUGCCUCUCUAAACAAAACUGAGUGUUGUACUUAUGUGUGCUUGUUCUGGACUCAAAACUUCCCAGGUUGAAAUCCCAGGUUUUAAUGUUUAUAUACCAACAUAUUUCUUUGUAAAGACCAGCACAAGAUAUUUACCUCUUUGUGCCUUGGUUUUCUCAAUUAUAAAACAAGGACAGUAAGAGUAUCUAUAUCUUUAAGUUAUUGUGAAGAAUACUUAAAUAAUACAUGCAAAAAAUGGUACUUAGCACAUAUAAAAAUUA